AUUGAACGCUGGCGGCAGGCCUAACACAUGCCAGUCGAGCGGAUGAAGGGAGCUUGCUCCUGGAUUCAGCGGCGGACGGGUGAGUAAUGCCUAGGAAUCUGCCUGGUAGUGGGGGAUAACGUCCGGAAACGGGCGCUAAUACCGCAUACGUCCUGAGGGAGAAAGUGGGGGAUCUUCGGACCUCACGCUAUCAGGUGAGCCUAGGUCGGAUUAGCUAGUUGGUGGGGUAAAGGCCUACCAAGGCGACGAUCCGUAACUGGUCUGAGAGGAUGAUCAGUCACACUGGAACUGAGACACGGUCCAGACUCCUACGGGAGGCAGCAGUGGGGAAUAUUGGACAAUGGGCGAAAGCCUGAUCCAGCCAUGCCGCGUGUGUGAAGAAGGUCUUCGGAUUGUAAAGCACUUUAAGUUGGGAGGAAGGGCAGUAAGUUAAUUCCUUGCUGUUUUGACGUUACCAACAGAAUAAGCACCGGCUAACUUCGUG
rnacentral:rRNA from 1 species